AUUGAACGCUGGCGGCAGGCCUAACACAUGCAAGUCGAACGAGCGGCGGACGGGUGAGUAAUGUCUGGGAAACUGCCUGAUGGAGGGGGAUAACUACUGGAAACGGUAGCUAAUACCGCAUACCAUCGGAUGUGCCCAGAUGGGAUUAGCUAGUAGGUGGGGUAAAGGCUCACCUAGGCGCCGAUCCCUAGCUGGUCUGAGAGGAUGACCAGCCACACUGGGACUGGGACACGGUCCAAACUCCUACGGUGGGCAGCAGUGGGGAAUAUUGCACCAUGGGCGCAAGCCUGAUGCAGCCAUGCCGCGUGUCUGAAGAAGGCCUUCGGGUUGUAAAAUACUUUCAGCGGGGGGGCGUUACCCGCAGAAGAAGCACAGGCUGACUCCGUGCCAGCAGCCGCGGUAAUAC
rnacentral:rRNA from 1 species